AUGGAGAUUUCGAUCGAGGAUGCCCGUAAAGAGAUUGUAAAGUGCAUCGAGAUGAGCAAAGAUGGCAUACAUGCUAUGCUUAUGGUGUUCUCAGCCACAUCACGGUUUUCUUGUGAAGAGAAGAAGACAGUUGAGUCGAUUAAACGGUUUUUUGGUGACAAAAUCCUCAACCACAUUAUAUUAGUUUUCACGCAUGGAGAUGCGGUGGGGGAUGAAGACAUGAUAAAGCUAUGCCAAAAUAGGGGUGUUCUCUUUGACAACAUGACCAGUAAUAUUGAGCGUCAUGAGAUGCAACGUGGGAAAUUGCUUGGUGCAGUUGACUUUGUUAUAUCAAGUAAUGGUGGCACAGCAUUUCCCUACAAGAUGCUCCCUAACAUUCAGGUUGAUGAAAACCUGAACAGUACAGAAGAGGAGAUCAAGAGGCUCAAGGAGAGGCUGGAGAAAUCUCAGAAAGAGCAGAAUCUGAGAAGGCUAGAGGAGGAGAAGAUGAAAGAGCAGAAAGAGGAGAUCAACAAUCUCAGGGAGGAACUUGAGAAGGCAAGGCAAGAAGACUUGUUGCGCAAGGAGAAGGAGAUCCAGAGGCUCAUGGAGAGCCUGGACCUGGCGAACAAGGAGAAGGACAACUACAGAACAAUGUAUGAGAACAAGUGCAUCGUUAUGUGA
rnacentral:rRNA from 1 species